GCUGCUCAGAUAUGCUGCCUCUCCGUGGCGAGCAGUAGGCAACGGGAUAACAUCCCGGCUAAAGCAUAA
rnacentral:ribozyme from 1 species